UACAUAAAAUAAAUUAAAUAUUUAUUUAUAAUUAAUUAAUAUGUAAAUUAAAUUAAUUAAAAAAAAAAUUUAUUUAUGGGGUAAAAUUUAUAAAUUAAUUUAUAAAUUUAAAUUUUUAAUUAUUUAUGAAGUUAAUGAAUUAAAUAGAAUUAAACUA
rnacentral:rRNA from 1 species